CCGUUCUGAUAUGCCAUUAAGUUGUG
rnacentral:piRNA from 1 species